GAUAGAAUGGCUGAAAAUAGGCAUUAAAUUGUAAAUUUAAAUAUGAAGAUUACUUCUUCUAUCA
rnacentral:tRNA from 1 species